AGCGAACGUUAGCGGCGGGCCUAACACAUGCAAGUCGAGCGAGAAAGUGGCUUCGGCCAUCGGUAAAGCGGCGGACGGGUGAGUAACACGUAGGUAAUUUUCCCUUGAGCGGGGGACGAACGUUCCGAAGGGACGCUAAUACCGCAUACGUUUCCGUAGGGCGUUCGGCCUUUGGUAAGGAAAGACUAGGCCGCAAGGUCCGGCACUCGAGGAGAAGCCUGCGUAGCAUCAGCUAGUUGGUGGGGUAAGUGGCNCACCAAGGCGAAGACGUUUAGCUGGUCUGAGAGGAUGAUCAGCCACACUGGGACUGAGACACGGCCCAGACUCCUACGGGAGGCAGCAGUGGGGAAUAUUGGACAAUGGGCGCAAGCCUGAUCCAGCCACGCCGCGUGAGUGAUGAAGGCCU
rnacentral:rRNA from 1 species